CUAGAGCUGGCUAGCGCGCUUCUAUCGCGAAUAAGUUUUGCGCGAACCCCUUGCGCAUCAUGAAAACAGAAGUUCGGUGGGGGACGAAGGAGGCGCCAGCCCAACGGCUGUAAUUUCGUGUCAUUGCGUGCGGCGAUGAGAGAGAGAGAGAGAAGGUAAGCGCGGUCAAGCAUGUUUUUUUAGGCGAGUUUUAAACUUUAAGCACAUAAAACACGUAGCAUUCGGUUUGGUGUGAUGCAUCGCGCCUUCCUACGCCCACCCCCCCCUCCCCCGUUGUCGCAUUGUGACAAUGCAUUGUGGGGGCCAGAGCGCGUACAGUGCAUUAUGAGCGGCGCGAAUAAACAACGCUAGCACGUUGAUCUCGACGACACCGUCAAUCGUAUGUAAUCGUUAAUGAGCAUGAGCAUAUUGGAGCUUGAUUGAUUGUUCAAAGGUGCAGGCGGCAAAACCCCAUUAUCUACAAUCAGGUGCUCGUGAUUGUGAGCGAAGAACACACAAACACAUUUCAUAAAUAUUUGAUGAAUAAUUUGAGUCCUCCGUGGAUGCGUCAAUUGUUUCAAACGCUGUCAUUUCUCAUUUCCUUCCGAUCUCUAGGCCAAUCGCUUUCCAGAGACCGAUAAAACUGACAGAUGAAUUACCAUUCCGGUACCGGUCUGUGUGUGUAUAUGUGUCUAGUUCAGAUAAAAAAUAACAACAACGCAUUGCCAUCUUUCCCUGCCGAGAUUAUUCCAGAGUUGGCGAUUAUUUUGCAUCAGCCCGUGCGCCCGACCUGACAAAAAUGGAAACCGGCGAGCGGAGAGCUUUGACAGCGAAGCGCAGGGAAGGUGUGUGGAUAGGAGCCACGGCGGAGCCAGUUGCUAGGUAGAAGACCGGUUCCUACUCCCUUGUACGUAUUCCCUCCCCAUUGGGUUUGGUUCAAAAAACCACACUCAACAGGUAAGCGCCGGGUUUGGCCAGACACGGCCAGUUCCCGAGCCGUCGCCUUUGCACUCACACCGCACCACCAUUAACACACGGUUUCCCCGGUCGCGUCGUGUGUCUCCGUUGCUGCCGGUUGGAACUGGUUUUGCGAUCGUUUACAUACCCAGAGCACCGCUUCUCACCUCCUCCCGUAAGUCAUCGCGCUACGACGCAGGGGAUUAUUUCAAUUUCGCACCACUCAUUUAUAUUUGCGUGUAAAAUCCCCACCCGGCACACCGACGAUUUGCGUUCGGUGCUUUCGAACUCUCUCGUGUUUGCGCCUCAUCCUUCCCACCGGCCGGUCUGCUGCUGCUGGCCGAAACACUGCUGCACCGUUUGCUAUUGUGUCUUCUAAUACCUUCUUUUUUCCAAACGGUGGAAUAACAACCAGGGGGCUAUGGUAGGGCCGGCUCAAAGGAAGCGGGAGAACAAAAAUACCCGAUGAUCCAGCGAAACAAAAAACAAAGAUCAAGUUUGUGUUAAUACCCUCGUCGAUCAUGAAAAAGUGGGGUUUCUUUUUGUUUUGCUGCGAGAUAAAUAUUUAUGAUGGCCAAUCGGUGAAACAAACAACACACACACACGCACGCACACAACGACAGAGCAGUAGGUUGGCUAAUAAUGGGGGAUAUUUUGUCCACCCAGCAUUUCGGUCACGUGCCAAACACCAUGCCAUACAAAUGGGCAACAUCAUCAUCACCGGUAGGGACGAGAAUUUCAAACGGGGUUUUAAAGUGUGGAACGGUGUUAUCGAUAUAAACAAAAAAAAACAUUCGAUUAAAUGCUCCACUGCUGUUUGUGUGGAUUGUAGAAUUGUAUGAACAACAUUCAGGGUUCAUAAGUUCACUACCACCCAACAAAGAGAGAGCCAUGCCAACAAAUUGCGCGACCUUCAUGCUAUUUUUUUUUUUUUUUUUAAUGAUUCCAGGCGAAGGGGUUAAACAAAAAACGGCAAUAAUACGAUUUCUCUUUGCUCAAUGUCAAAGCGCGAAUGCAUUUCGACGAACGACAAAGAAAUAGUAAUAAAAAAAAACAGAACUCCACUCAUGGUCAAUGUCAGCCAGUACACGGAGAAGCUGCUGCUGUUGUUGUUGCGUUUAGCAGUGCCGUUGGUGUGAGAAGUGAAGGGAGAACCUUCUCGGUGGAAGAGCUCUAGGAAAAGGAUACAACAUGCCGUUGAUUACCAUUAUAAUUGCUGUUGCGUAUAGAUACAACUUAAAUUACUGACGUUCAGGAUUGUUUGAAUUGCAAAAUCCCGACUGAAAUGCAAAAACCAAAAUGUUGUUGUGUCCUAUUCCUGCUUUUUUUUUGUUGCUUCGUUACGAUUGGAGCAUCAUCUCUAUUUGUAAUUGCUAGCAUAAUUAUACCACAGCCUAGCUUGCACGUACACAUCGCACCAGAACGAUGGCGUAAGAGAAUCUCUUCCUCCUUCCGCCCUCCCAAACAGUGUAAUCGACAGCAAGAUUGCAUUACAUUAUUGUCGCUGCAACUGUUAAAGACACCAAAACAAGGGUUUGAUUAUCUCAUGGCAGCAGCGCCGCGUUACAUCGAUCGUCCUCAAGGGGUUGACAUCUCGCCACUGCCGGCCGAAGCAGCAGUUCAAUCCGGAUCGUGCAGCAAACCAACCCCGUGAUGAAUGGUAUCGAUUGAAGCAUUGCACACUGCCAUUGGUGGUGGUGGUGGGCCUGCGGAACCCCAAACGGAGCAGAGCAGAGUGUGUUUUUGUAAGAAUGCGCAGACGCCGCACCCGCAGCAGAGCUCUUUCGCGGUUCGCAAUGUGUCAAAUACGGCCGCUUAGCUGUGUGCGUUGUGUAUGUGGUGGUGGUGAUUGCGUUUGUUACUGCAACAUGAACCUCCGGCUCGCACACUCGUGUACACACGCACACAGUGUGUAGCAACCGAUCUCGGACACGUGCGAUGCGGUGCAUUUCGUAUUGUGGUGCGGAUUGCACGUUUUAUUGUCUUGCAUGCGUGGAAAACAAUCCGAUCUAUCUCACUGGUUGAUUCCCCGUGACGCAACUCUGUGGCAUUGAUGAUAGGCUCUAAAAAAUAACAAAAAUACAUUUUUUUUAAUUAAAUCAAUUUCACUACUCCGACCAGUGUGUGUGUACGAGUUCAACCGUGCACGGCAACCGUCCGUCCAUCAGGCCAUGCCGCCGCAUCCGGAUCUGGUUCAUUCUGGAAAUUUACCGACCGCGUGCUAAAAACGAUGGUAGAAAAGGAUGAUUCAUGCGUGGUGUUUUUGCUGAUAGGCGCACGGGCGCACUGAGCAUGAGAGGGAAAGGUAUAACGUCACAUAGAAUCAUUUGGAGCGAACCCUAAACGUACGUGAAUCUUCGCUGACGGAACUAUGGAUGAUUUUAAACUCUUGUUAGGUAACCCAAAAGCAACUCAACCACUGUACAAAGGGAAAGGGUUUAUUUAGAUGCCACAAAAAUGUGUCCGCCUUUUGACAGCCUGAGAAGUAGGGCGAGAAGGCACCUACCAUGUGGUUCGUAAAUUAUCAGAUAACACCGUAUCAGGUGAGUGUGUUUGUUGUGUGUGGUGCCCGGUGGUCGCCGGUACCGCAAGUAUGACACGGUUUCGUGAAGUUUUUUUUUGUGUGUGUCACUUUUCAAGCAUCAAAACCCGGGACUACCUCAAUAAGGCACCAUUUGCACUACCGGGGAAUGGCGACGAUAACGAAACGCGUGGAUAGAACAACUACGAGCAGCGAACGGCAGCAGUACCUGCCGUGGUACACCAAUAACACCUGUGCCUCGCCAGAGUUCAACAUGGCGCACCAAAACAAAUGCACUUUACGCAUCGCAGUAGGCAUAGGAAAAUGGAAAAGAACGUCAAGUAGCGUGCAUUAAUCGCUGCUACCAUUGCACGGGUGGGGCAACGCCGUUCAUUCACAACGAAGGUCUUGGGAGGGUUAAUGCGGCGGCUAAUUGGACAGCCCGGCCGCCGCCGCCGCCGCCGCCGCCGCCGCAACCCGAUUCAUUAACGGUCAGCAGACGGCAGGCGACCCCUUUGCUGAUAUGCCCAGCGUUCGGGUGUGUCACCUAAUAUGUUUGCUCAAUAUGUGCGCGAACAGGCCCCGAACAGUUUGAGUCCGGGAAUCGGUAGCGGCAAUGGCAGGGCGCGAUCGCCCUCCACGCCAUAGAGCGGGUUGUGUUUCCCUUAACCCGGUACACCACGCGACGUUAGAAAACAUUAUGUAUUCGUGCUCUAACGACACCAUUCACGCGCACACACACACACGCGCGCGCUCGCUGACAAAAGCACAUGAAGCGCGUGUCGCGGACAUGGGCGUAGCCUCUCUCUCUUGCGCUGGGUGUGGGCCCCGUGCGAUCGGCGCGGAUCGAGUUUUCUAAUCGAGACACCGUAACCCCGCACGUAUCGCGAUGCUCAUCCGUACAACCCUCCACGGCACCGCUGCAACCAAGCAACUGCGGGCCCCCUCGUAGGCACAGUAGGCCACAGGGGAAGGUCAACAAGAUUUGCGCUCUGUUGUCUGCCCGUCAUCUCUCGUCCCGCAACGCAGUUCUAAUCGUGGAACGCGGAUUGAGGAGUGAGUCUCCAUCGUACUUUUCUUACCAUCCCGCGAAGGCUCCACCGUGUAUAGUAAGGCUCUCUCCGAUUGUACUUCCGACAGGAAAGAUGGACACUCCGUACAGCUCACGGCAAAGGGACAGUUAAAAAAAGCAACCACUUACCUCUUCAUCCAUUGACCGCGCCAUGCUUCUUGACGCCAAUCGCUCGGCACGUCUUGCCCUGGGCUCCCUCUCUCUGACCCGCCCUUUGCGUUAGCGACUGACACACACACGCACACGAGAAGAUUCGGUACCUCGCUCGCCUCUCGUUUGUUGCUCACCUUCUCUCCGCUGGCUGGCUGGCUGGCUGGCUGGCUGGUUGCACCAACGAGUUUCGAUGCAAAAGGACACGGGCGCCCUUGUGUUUUAAGCCCCCCACGAACGGCUCAGAUGAUGUCCUUCACGCGUUCAAGCACUAGGAAAACACCCACCGACACACACGGGCACGCGCUACCGAGAACAAACACACACACACACACGCGCUAUCGAGCGCGCGCGCACACACACACACAGAAUGGAAAAGGGGAGACGAUGGUGCCCCGCACCCGUUCAAUGGUACCGAACGGACGAACGGACGGAGGGAACUGGGAAGGCCCGCUGCCCCGUGUCUGCACUGGUGAGGUGUUUCGCUUUUCCUUGUUACGGUACGCACUUUCGCUUUUCGAUCGCCAGUUGGAUUUUCACCUGUUUUCCCCGACCAGACCCAGACGACUUAAAAAUCUAACAACACGAGCGACCAAACUGUGCGAAGGAAAGGUGCUGUCAUGUCCGACACUGGGCCGAAGGUGAAUAGAGCAUGGGUGUGCGCAGGUAGCUGCGUGACAAAUAUUGUGGCAAGUGGUUUUUUCUUUUUAUAUUUCUCGCAUAUCGCUGUCAGUUUAAGUGUUAAUGUUGGAGUAAAAUUUAAUUUAAAAAUUAAAAAUAUUCAUUUUUUGCAAAAUUGUUGCACCAUGCUAAUAAAAACAGGGAAAAUUCAAUACUCGCAGCAAAUUGUAGACACCUUGGGAGAAAUAAGAACCAUUUCAUUGGAGCACUCAACUCGCCAGCUCAUAAACGCAGCUCACGAACGUUUCCAAAGGGCUGACUGCUGUCGAAAACAUCUCGGUGAAUUCAAACUGAUUCAAAAUAACGGUUUCCAAAUAUGUGCAUAUGUAUUUUAAAAAAGAUUUCUUUCUAAUGAGAUUUCUACAAAUAUUUUUAAUUAAAUUUGUUCUCAAUUGUUUUUUAAUGUUGGAAAAUAGUUUUUAUUUUGAAAUUUCAAAACAAUAAACUAAUUUGAGGCAAGUUUACUAAAGCUAAAGCAACAAAA